rnacentral:rRNA from 1 species
UGAGGAAUAUUGGUCAAUGGGAGAGAUCCUGAACCAGCCAAGCCGCGUGAGGGAAGACGGCACUACGUGUUGUAAACCUCUUUUGCCGGGGAACAAAGCGGGGACGCGUCCCCGUCUGCGUGUACCCGGAGAAAAAGCAUCGGCUAACUCCGUGCC